ensembl:lncRNA
UUUUUUUUUUUUUUUUUUUUUAAAGCGACAGGGUCUUACUCUGUUGCCCAGGCUAGAGUGCAGUGAUGUGAUCAUAGCUCACUGCUGCCUCGAAUGCUGGGGCUCAAGUGAUCUCACCUCAGCCUCCCAAGAAGCUCGGACUAUAGGCACAUGCCACCAUACCUGGAAUUUUAAAAUUGUUUGUAGAGACAAGGUCUUGUUAUGUUGCCCAGGAUGGUCUCAAACUUCUGGCCUCAGGAAAUCCUCCUGCCUCAGCCUUGUAAAGUGCUAGGAUUACAGGUAUGAGCCACCAUGGCUGGCCUAGAGCCUGGUCUUUUAGAGUCUGAUGGAUUUGAGGAUGGAGCUCAGUGCUAUCCCUCACCAGCUGUGUUACUGUGGGCAAAAUUGCUUAUUUUUUUAAUCCUCCCUUUUCUCAUCUCCAGAAUAACAAGAUUGCAAAAUAAUAAUUCCCUCUAGGGUGCCUGUGUCAGUUAAUGAGAUCGUGAAUAGGGACACGCUUAGCACUCAGUAUCUUCCUGCAGCUUGCCAAAAUAGCCACAGUGUAUACAAAAAUGUAAGUAUCUUUCUGUAUAACUGGGCUACAAACGAUGGUAGAAAACAUAAUCAUACCACUCCAAGGUCAUUUCACAUCUUCAUGUUUACACAGGCUAUUCUGAAAUAGUCAUUCGAUUGAGAAAUUAAAUUCUGUUUUCAACAUUCACAUAUGCUCUCUUGUACAUUCUCUCCUCUCAAGCACUCCCUCUCCCUUUCCUCUGAUUUUGCCUCAGAAUUACGGUUGUCAACGAAAGGAGUCAAACUCUGUAAAAUAUUUGAAGAGAUGUAUUCUGAGCCAAAUAUGAGUAACCAAUGGCCCAUAACACAGCCUUCAGGAGAUCCCAAAAACAUGUGCCCAAGGUGGUCAGGCUACAACUUGGUUUUACACAUUUUAGGGGCAUAAAAGACAUUAAUCAAUACAAAUAAGAUGUACAUUGGUUCAGUCUGGGAAGGUAGGACAACUGGAAGCCAGGGGCUUCCAGGUCAUAAGCAGAUUCAAAUACUUUCUGAGUGGCAAUUGGUUGAAAGGGUUAAGUUAUUGUCUAAAGACUUAGAAUCAAUGGAAAGGAAUGUCUGGGCUAAGAUAAGGGAUUAUGGAGACCAAGUUUUUAUCAUGCAGGCAAAGUCUCCAGAUAGCUGGCUUCAGAGAGAAUACAUUAUAAAUGCUUCUUAUCAGACUUAAAGAGUCUUCUCAGUAAUUUCAAAAGGCAGGAGGGUAUAAUGAGGCAUGUCCGACCCCACUUCCCAUCAUGGCCUGAACUAGUUUUUCAGGUUAACUUCGGAAUUUACUUUGCCAAGAGGAUGGGUCCAUUCCAGCGGUUGGAGGGCUUAGAAUUUUAUUUUUGGUUUACACAGUCUUCGUGCAGGGAAGCACUUAAAAAAAAAAAAUGAAGGAACAAGGGAAUGUGUGUCAGGUCUGGGUGCUGGUGGCUGGGCCCUGCUGGCUUCUAUAGGGGCAUUUCACCCCUUUGGGUCUUUGGUUUAGGCUUCAGUCCUGCUGCAUCCUCUGCUGGGGUUGUUUAGUCACCCCCGCCUUUGGAUGCAAGUGAGCAUCUGGGCCCACUGUCCUCCUAUGAGGCCUCUGGUCCAGAUGUCCUCACCCUAUGCUCACCUCAUCCCAUCCCUGGCCACUCUCAGUCUCUGGCUCUCUGUAUCACUUAUCUAUUACUGCUAGAACAAAUGACUGCAAACUUAGUGGCUCAAAAUAAAAACUUUUCUUAGAGGUCUAGAUGUUAGAAGUCCAAAGCAGGUCUCACGGGGCUAAAAUCAAGGUGCUGGCAAGACUUGGUUUUAUACAUUUUAGGGACACAAAAGACAUUAAUCAAUACAAAUAAGAUGUACAUUGGUUCAGUCUUUCUGAAGGCUCUAGGGGGGAACCUGUCUCCCUGCCUUUUCCUGCUUCUGGAGGCUCUUACUUGUCUUUUAUUAUCUGAUUUUCUUGCCUCCCUCUUUUAAGGACCCUUUUGAUUAUAUCAGACCCACCCGGAUAAUCCAGGAUAAUUGCCCCAACUCAGGAUUCUGUAAGCCAAAACAAAACUCCCAGGCCCCCCAACAGACUGAACAGGGAGUCAAGUGAAACCUGAAAAAUGAUAUUCACAAUCAUGAUGGAAAGGAAGGGAGGUUGGACACACCUCGUUAUACCCUCUCCCUUUUGGAGUUCAGCAGAACUAACCAGCAUUAACACUAAAAUAGAGAUCACGAGACUGACAAAACAAACUACGGCAAUAAGAGAUCAAAUUCCAUCCUGACUCUGGUGUAGCAUCAUAUGACAGAUAUCAGACCCUGAAGGAAAUCAAAAUAUUUUACCCCAAAAUACAUUUCUCUGACAUUUUGAAAUGGCCCUGCAAAGCUGUCUUUUGUGGGGAAAAUUCUGCAUCUGUAGAGAACUUCCAUUAAUGCAGCCCAGUCUUUCUGGGAUCUAGGAGAGAUUAACUAAGAGUCUGACAACUUUAAGGUCUGAAAAGAGACAUUUACCAUCUAUUCUCGCUGAAGCCUGCUGCCUGGAGGCUUCAUCUACAUAGUAAGAACCUUGGCUUUCACAACUCCCCCCACCCACUUAUCUUAACUAAAGCAUUUCUUUCUACUAACUUCAAGUCUGUAGUUUAACUCUUUCAACCCAUUGCCAAUCAGACAAUUUUUGAAUCCACCUAUGACCUGUAAGCUCCCCAACUCUUUGAGAUGUCUCACCUUUCCAGGCCAAAUCAAUCUAUUCCUUACAUGUAUUGAUCUAUGUCUUUGCCUGUAACUUUUGUCUCCCUUAACCAUAUAAAACCAAACUGUAACCUGACCUCCUUGAGCACACUUUCUCAGGACCCCCUGAGACUCUUCCUGGAGCCACGGUCACUCAUAUUGGCUUAGAAUAAACUCCUUUACAUAUUUUACAGUUUGGGUUUUUCGUUUACAAUUAUUAAUCACGUUUGCCAAGUAAGGUCACAUAUUCACAGGUUCUGGGGGUUAGGAUGUGGACAUCUUUGGGGGGGCAAUUGUUCCGCCUUCCAUACCAUCCUAUUAUUCCCAAUCCCUUUCUGGGACAAGCAGCACACACUGGAUUCCCCCAGGUCACUGAUGGGUCAUGGGGAAGUGGAGGUGCUACUUUACGCUGUCCUACUGCUCAAAGUGCCAAACUGCCUCUCCUCUUCCAUGCAGCUGCCUCGUGGGGGUGAGAGGCACCAGGUGAGGCCUCUUAUCUCAGAUAUUCAAGUGGAAAGAGUGGCACAAGCCUAUCUGGGGUGUGUGUUAUAUGACAUCAUGCCUGGGGUACAUAGUAGGCAUGAAUAAAGAGCACUGGGGAAUUUUCAGGCUAAGCCUUGAUGUGACAAUCCUGCAUUCCCCAAUCCUUCCCUGUUCCCACUAUAAUCAGGACCAACAGAGCUGAAUCCUACAGGUAGUGAGCUGGGCUUGAUUAGGAAAUGAGAAGGUUCUGGGUGUGAUGAUCUAGGUUCUAUAUAGGUAGGCUCAGAUGCGCGCUGGGCCUGCUAGCUGUAUUGGAGUUGAUCUGAGAAGGUGAGUUCAAGCUCUGUUUCAGUGGGUGGCAGGGAAAGUUUUGUUCAAGACAGAUCUGGAAAACAGAGUCUCACACUUUGACACAUAGGGAGAGACC